rnacentral:rRNA from 1 species
GACGAACGCUGGCGGCGUGCUUAACACAUGCAAGUCGAACGGUGAAGGGACCGGUUUUUGCUGGUUCUGGAUGAGUGGCGAACGGGUGAGUAACACGUGAGUAACCUGCCCCCUUCUUCUGGAUAACCGCAUGAAAGUGUGGCUAAUACGGGAUAUUCUGCGCCUGCUGCAUGGUGGGUGUGGGAAAGAUAUUGUUUCGGUGGGGGAUGGGCUCGCGGCCUAUCAGCUUGUUGGUGGGGUGAUGGCCUACCAAGGCGGUGACGGGUAGCCGGCCUGUGAGGGUGGACGGUCACACUGGGACUGAGCCACGGCCCAGACUCCUACGGGAGGCAGCAGUGGGGAAUAUAGCACAAUGGGCGCAAGCCUGAUGCAGCGACGCCGCGUGAGGAAUGGAAGCCUUCGGGUUGUAAACCUCUUUCGCCAGUGAAGCAGGCCUGUCCCUUUUGUGGGUGGGUUGACGGUAGCUGGAUAAGAAGCGCCGGCUAACUACGUG